CUUUACUGCAACUUGACAUUGGAUUCUGGCUGUACUUGUGUAGGAUAGGUGGGAGGCUUUGAUGUAGUGCCGCCAGGUAUUACGGAGCCAACGUUGAAAUACCACCCUGGUGCUGACGGAAUUCUAACCUGACCCAUGAUCUGGGCCGGAGACAUUGUCUGGUGGGCAGUUUGACUGGGGCGGUCGCCUCCUAAAAGGUAACGGAGGCAUCCAAAGGUCCCCUCAGCGUGGUCGGUAAUCACGCGCAGAGUGCAAAGGCAUAAGGGGGCUUAACUGCGAGACCGACAGGUCGAGCAGGUACGAAAGUAGGGCUUAGUGAUCCCGCGGUUUAGCGUGGAAUUGCCGUUGCUCAAUGGAUAAAAGGUA
rnacentral:rRNA from 1 species